rnacentral:rRNA from 1 species
UAUUGGACAAUGGGCGAAAGCCUGAUCCAGCAACGCCGUGUGUGUGAAGAAGGCCUUCGGGUUGUAAAGCACUUUUAGUUGGGAAGAAAAGCUCAAGAUUAAUAACCUUGAGUGAUGACGUUACCAACAGAAAAAGCACUGGCUAACUCUGUGCCAGCAGCCGCGGUAAUACAGAGAGUGCGAGCGUUAAUCGGAAUUACUGGGCGUAAAGCGCACGUAGGUGGAAUUUUAAGUCGGAUGUGAAAUCCCCGGGCUUAACCUGGGAAUUGCAUUCGAUACUGUGAUUCUAGAGUAUGGUAGAGGGAAGUGGAAUUUCCGGUGUAGCGGUGAAAUGCGUAGAUAUCGGAAGGAACAUCAGUGGCGAAAGCGGCUUCCUGGACCAAUACUGACACUUAGUCGAAA